AUUGAACGCUGGCGGAAUGCUUUACACAUGCAAGUCGAACGGUAGAGGGGGCAACCCCUUGAGAGUGGCGAACGGGUGAGUAAUAUAUCGGAACGUGCCCAGUCGUGGGGAUAACGUAGCGAAAGUUACGCUAAUACCGCAUACGAUCUAAGGAUGAAAGCGGGGGAUCGCAAGACCUCGCGCGAUUGGAGCGGCCGAUAUCAGAUUAGGUAGUUGGUGAGGUAAAGGCUCGCCAAGCCAACGAUCUGUAGCUGGUCUGAGAGGACGACCAGCCACACUGGAACUGAGACACGGUCCAGACUCCUACGGGAGGCAGCAGUGGGGAAUUUUGGACAAUGGACGCAAGUCUGAUCCAGCCAUUCCGCGUGCAGGAUGAAGGCCCUCGGGUUGUAAACUGCUUUUGUACGGAACGAAAAGGUUUCUAUUAAUACUAGGAGCUCAUGACGGUACCGUAAGAAUAAGC
rnacentral:rRNA from 1 species